CGCCCUUGUUUGCACGCAAACCACAGAGUUAUGGUGAAUGAGACAUGCAUGGCUCCAUCUGGUUGAAGGCAUAUGAUAGCUAGGCUAGUCGACGGGUGAAGAGGCCUCCAGCUGCUUCCAGGCAGCUGCCAACCGCUGUCAGCUUCAGCUUGCCCCCAAACACCAGGUACCUCUAAACUGUUGCUGACUCCAGAUUCCAGAUCAGGAAUGCCGCCACAAAUCAUAACAGCAGAUUACGAAUGAACAAAUUAAGAUGUGCAACCUAAGAAUUUCCCGAAAGGCAGAAAAGUGCACAGUUAGGGUUUAUGGUUUAGGUCUACAUCAGCUUAAAGAACUUGUUAGGGCAGCAAAAUUGAUCAAACAACACGUUAUGCAGAUGCAAAGAUUCCCAUUCUUUUUCUCUGGAAGACGUACAGCUACAAUUCGAAAGGGACUAAACAAGCAAACAAGCAAGUCUGUUCCUAUCAAACAGUCAUGGCUAUAGACAUGUUAGUCUGUUUAUAUGCUGACCGUUGAAUGGUUCAACACACUGAUGUGGUCCCUGUCUACAAUCCCCUACCACUCUUCCACCCUGUUAGCCAUCACAGGAACCCUAUUGCAAGUUUCCAACUCAGACUCGGUUUCAAGUUAACGCGUGCAAGCAAAAAAUCGUAACAAAAAUGGCAGUGGCGAGUACCUCUUCGUCUCUCCGCCUCCUGCCUCUCCUCCUCGUACUCCUACUCACUGCCACCAGCGAGGCCACCACAUUCAAAAUCAUCAACCAAUGCUCCUACACCAUGUGGCCAGCCGUUCUGCCGGGAGGUGGCGUGAAGCUCGAUCCGGGGGAGACGUGGGAGCUGAACGUGCCCGCUGGUACCUCAGCAGGGCGCAUCUGGGCGCGCACAGGCUGCUCACUCCUUGGCAAAGGCGGGUCAUGCCAAACUGGCGACUGCAGCGGCUUGCUCACCUGUACGGUCAGUGGUAGAUCGCCAAACACGCUGGGCGAGUUCAGGCUUGGCCAAGGCCAAAGUGAUGAUGAUUUCUUCGACAUCUUGCUCACUGAUGGCUUCAACGUGCCCAUGGACUUCCUGCCGGUGCCGGUUCAGGGAAAGUCAGGGUGCAGCAAGGGGCCGCGCUGUGCAGCCAACAUCACAUCGCAGUGCCCAAGAGAGCUGAAGGCUCCGGGAGGGUGUAACAAUCCAUGUAUUAGGAGCGCAGAAAGCAAUUGCAGUUACACAAUUAACUCGGUCUUCUUUAAGCGGUUGUGCCCAGAUGCCUACAGCAAUCCCAACGAUUUUUCCACUUUCACUUGCCCGACGGGCACAGACUACCAGGUCAUCUUCUGUCCCCUGAUUAAUCAAGCAAUAUCGCCUACAGCUGAAAGUCCCCUGCCUGCGCCCCCCGCCAAUGUAACACCUCCGACCCCAGGUACUCUUCCUGCAGCUAUUGGGCCAGCAAGCAUGAAACUGAAAUCUGCCUCUGUAAGAAUAGUUGUUGCAAUUCUAGCUCCUGUAGGCGGCUUCAUUUUGUUCACCAUCAUGAUCCUCAGCAUCUUCUUUAUAUGCAAACGAAGAACACAACGACAGAAUGAGAUGGAAGAAGAAGAAGAGUUUGGGGAGCUACAAGGUACACCAAUGAGGUUCACAUUCCAACAGCUAAAAGCAGCAACCGAGCAAUUCGCAGACAAGCUCGGGGAAGGAGGAUUUGGGUCUGUUUUCAAGGGACAAUUUGGUGAUCAAAGGAUUGCAGUGAAACGUUUGGAUCGAACUGGUCAGGGCAAAAGUGAAUUUUCAGCAGAGGUUCAGACAAUUGGCAGCAUUCAUCAUAUUCAUCUGGUGAGAUUGAUUGGUUUCUGUGCAGAGAAAUCCCAUAGGCUCUUGGUAUAUGAGUACAUGCCCAAAGGAUCCUUGGACAGAUGGAUUUAUUGUCGACAUGACAAUGAUGCCCCUCCUUUAGAUUGGAGCACGCGGUGCAAGAUUAUAACUCACAUAGCUAAGGGCCUCUCUUAUCUUCAUGAGGAGUGCACAAAAAGAAUUGCUCAUUUGGAUGUCAAACCGCAAAAUAUUCUCUUAGAUGACAACUUCGAUGCUAAACUUUCUGAUUUUGGACUAUGCAAGCUCAUCGACAGGGAUAUGAGCCAAGUGGUUACCAGAAUGAGAGGCACACCUGGAUAUUUAGCUCCUGAAUGGUUGACAUCACAGAUCACGGAAAAGGCGGAUAUCUACAGCUUUGGCAUCGUGGUCAUGGAAAUCAUCAGUGGAAGAAAGAACCUUGACACUUCCCGGUCAGAAGAGAGCGUCCAUCUCAUCACCCUAUUGGAGGAAAAGGUGAAGAAUGAUCAGUUGGUAGAUUUGAUUGACAAUAACAGUAACGACAUGCAAGCACACAAGCAAGAUGUAAUUCAGAUGAUGAUGCUUGCAAUGUGGUGCUUGCAGAUUGAUUGCAAAAAAAGGCCUAAAAUGUCCGAAGUCGUCACAGUCCUAGAAGGUGCCAUGGAUGUUGACACCAACAUAGAUUAUAACUUUGUCGCAACAGGUCGAGCUAAUUUUGGUAAUGAUGGAAGUGUGAACUCCUCAGCUCCACCUGUAGGCUCAGAUCUAUCAGGGCCCAGGUGAAAUGAGACCGUCCCGAGAAGAUAUCCAAUUAGAUUGUGAGCAGUAGAUUUUGUUACUUGGAACAAAAGCCCUGAUCUGUAGUAUUUAUUUGCUGAAAUUACUACAAUUUUAAACCCCUAUCUCGGGUUAUUUUUAUCUGCAGAAUAUCUUAAUAUUACAAAUUUUCUGUGAUCUAUACCAUACAUAAACUCAUCUUGUAUUCCUGUA
rnacentral:rRNA from 1 species